AGUGAACGCUGGCGGUAGGCCUAACACAUGCAAGUCGAACGGCAGCACAGUAAGAGCUUGCUCUUACGGGUGGCGAGUGGCGGACGGGUGAGGAAUACAUCGGAACCUACUUUUUCGUGGGGGAUAACGUAGGGAAACUUACGCUAAUACCGCAUACGACCUACGGGUGGAAGCAGGGGAUCUUCGGACCUUGCGCGAUUGAAUGAGCCGAUGUCGGAUUAGCUAGUUGGCGGGGUAAAGGCCCACCAAGGCGACGAUCCGUAGCUGGUCUGAGAGGAUGAUCAGCCACACUGGAACUGAGACACGGUCCAGACUCCUACGGGAGGCAGCAGUGGGGAAUAUUGGACAAUGGGCGCAAGCCUGAUCCAGCCAUACCGCGUGGGUGAAGAAGGCCUUCGGGUUGUAAAGCCCUUUUGUUGGGAAAGAAAAGCAGCAGGUUAAUACCCCGCUGUUCUGACGGUACCCAAAGAAUAAGCACCGGCUAACUUCGUG
rnacentral:rRNA from 1 species